CCUACGGGUGGCAGCAGUGGGGAAUAUUGGACAAUGGGGUGAACCCUGAUCCAGCGACGCCGCGUGAGUGAAGCAGUAUUUCGUUAUGUACCGCUCUAUCAGCAGGGAAGAAAAUGACGGUACCUGACUAAGAAUCCCCGGCUAACUACGUGCCAGCAGCCGCGGUAAUACGUAGGGGGCAAGCGUUCUCAGGAUUUACUGGGGGUAAAGGGAGCGUAGACGGUGCAGCAAGUCUGAUGUGAAAGGUCGGGGCCCAACCCCGGGAAUGCAUUGGAAACUGUUGAACUGGAGUACAGGAGAGGUAAGCGGAAGUCCUAGUGUAGCGGUGAAAUGCGUAGAUAUUAGGAGGAACACCAGUGGCGAAGGCGGCUUACUGGACUGUAACUGACGUGGAGGCUCGAAAGCGUGGGGAGCAAACAGGAUUAGAUACCCGGGUAGUC
rnacentral:rRNA from 1 species